rnacentral:lncRNA from 1 species
CAGGGUCCCUUAAAAAAACAUAAGAGGGCUGCCCCUUUUCCUCUGCUAGGGUUUCGGCCCUAGCCCCCUUUUGCGCCGCCGUUCAAGCGAUUAGUCGGUCCGAAAUCCGGCGCCGAUCCCGAUCCCGACUCAGGUAAGUUUUCUUUUCUUUCUCCUUUUUUAUUUUAAAUGAAAAAUAAAUGGAAAAAUAAAAAGAACAGAAAAACUAAAAGCGAUUCACCUUCGAAAAACUUUUUCAGUAUAUUUUCUCUCUAUAUUUUCUUUACACUGACUUCUCCCCCCCCCUUAUUACACAAAAUCUGACUCCGUUUUAUAGCCGACCUAGAGAAAUAACAAUAAAAUCAAUAAAAAAUCCCUUGAUUCUCUGUAUUCUGUUGCUAUUUGUUUUUGAGUCUCGUUACAGGUACUGUUGGAGGAGAAUGCGCGCGACGUGCGCGGAGUAACGUGCGCAACAUGCGGAGGCGACAGACGUGACGUGCGGGGGCUGUUGCGGCGUGCGUGUGGGAGCUACUGCGGCGCGAGUUUGCUGCAGCGCCUAGGGUUUUUUUUGGUUUUAGGCUGAUGGGGCUCGGGUCAAAUGGGAUAUUUGGGUUUGUUUGUUGGUCUGGGCCCGGGCAUAUUUAUUUGUUUGGGCCCGGGCAUUAUUGGGCUUGUACAUAUAUAUUUAAGUUAAAUUUCACAUGCAAUUUAUAUUAAUUUCUUAAAAAAUGUUUAAUUUAUAUUCCUUAUAUCUUUAUAUUAAGAUUGAGUUACCAUAA